AACAGGAUUAGAUACCCUGGUAGUCCACGCCCUAAACGAUGUCAACUGGUUGUUGGGAGGGUUUCUUCUCAGUAACGUAGCUAACGCGUGAAGUUGACCGCCUGGGGAGUACGGCCGCAAGGUUGAAACUCAAAGGAAUUGACGGGGACCCGCACAAGCGGUGGAUGAUGUGGUUUAAUUCGAUGCAACGCGAAAAACCUUACCUACCCUUGACAUGCCAGGAAUCUUGCAGAGAUGUGAGAGUGCUCGAAAGAGAACCUGGACACAGGUGCUGCAUGGCCGUCGUCAGCUCGUGUCGUGAGAUGUUGGGUUAAGUCCCGCAACGAGCGCAACCCUUGUCAUUAGUUGCUACGAAAGGGCACUCUAAUGAGACUGCCGGUGACAAACCGGAGGAAGGUGGGGAUGACGUCAGGUCAUCAUGGCCCUUAUGGGUAGGGCUACACACGUCAUACAAUGGCCGGGACAGAGGGCUGCCAACCCGCGGGGGGGAGCUAAUCCCAGAAACCCGGUCGUAGUCCGGAUCGCAGUCUGCAACUCGACUGCGUGAAGUCGGAAUCGCUAGUAAUCGCGGAUCAGCUUGCCGCGGUGAAUACGUUCCCGGGUCUUGUACACACCGCCCGUCACACCAUGGGAGCGGGUUCUGCCAGAAGUAGUUAGCCUAACCGCAAGGAGGGCGAUUACCACGGCAGGGUUCGUGACUGGGGUGAAGUCGUAACAAGGUAACC
rnacentral:rRNA from 1 species